rnacentral:rRNA from 1 species
GCUUGUCUCAAAGAUUAAGCCAUGCAUGUCUAAGUGUAAAUAAGUCUAUACUGUGAAACUGCGAAUGGCUCAUUAAAUCAGUUAUCGUUUAUUUGAUGAUCUCUUACUACUUGGAUAACCGUGGCAAUUCUAGGGCUAAUACAUGCGUCAAUAGUCUCCGGACUAGUAUUUAUUAGAUACAAAGCCAGCCGUCAGGAUUAGGUGAAUCAUGAUAACUAAACGAAUCGCAAGCGCAAGCGGCGAUGGUUCAUUCAAAUUUCUGCCCUAUCAACUUUCGAUGGUAGGAUAGAG